rnacentral:rRNA from 1 species
AUGUUUGAGGAAAGUUCUUUUUUGUUGCAGAUUAUGGAUGAGCAUCUGCCGUGCGGUUUCAGUGCGGAUGAGGUUCCGGAGCGGUCCACUGAUUUUUUUUGCUUGCAGUGUAGUGUGGUGAAAUUAUACUCGUCCUCCCCCUUCAUCCUCACCACUUUAUACUUAGUCAUGCAGUGCACCCCUAAAAGUGGUGCAGUACUCGCAAAAUUGUCGUUAGUUUUAUACUUAGUCAUGCAGUGCACUAGCAAAAAAGUGGUGUUGUACUCGCAAAAUUAG